ACAAAAGAAACACCAAGAAAAUAUCAUUAUCGAGAGCGGCGGCUUCAAAAUUGUAUUCGGUUUUUGCGAGGACGUCGCCUGCGCUUUUUGUUACCCGGAUUUGUCUCUGAAUCGCAUAAAUAAUGGACGCUCGCGUUUGCCUUGCGAAUUUAAUCCCGAAUGAAUUUAUAAAUAUACCGUAAAUGCAAAACGGUCAUCCGACCCAUUAAGCCAAACGGGUUAAGUUUAACUCGCGUAUUGAUUUUCGCAGCUAGCACGCGGCGCCGCAGUCAAACAUUUUUACGUUUGCGCGCGCGACGUCCAGCAAAAUCCCCUUCCACCCUCAACGAAAAUUAUUCAUUCCGAGGAGAGAGCGAGCGAGCGAGCGGGGCUCGCUUUAUGCAAAUCCUGCGUAUGAAUAUUAUUCGUGGCAGACGAGCGACGGGGAUUUCGCGCCAUUAUCGGCGCCGUAUCGAGUAUUGAAUUCGGGUCGCGGAAUUACAUUUGUCGCGCUUUAUCGUCCUCCGACUUUGCCAGCGGGCGAAAAAAUGGAAAAAAAGAGAAAAAAAAUGAGAGAGAGAGAGAGAGAGAGAGAGAGAGAGAGAAAGAGAGAUAGACGGAAAAGGGCGAGCUGUAAAAUGAACUCGCGGCACAAGUAAACGAGCGCCGUUAGUCACCAGCGCUGGGAGAGCAGAACUCUCGACGAAAUAAAAAAUUUAAACCGCGUAGAGCCUCGCGGUUAUCGUCGAGAUCCGGGCGGUUGACAAAUUUCGGCCAUCCCGGCGCGCUAUCAGCCGACUCGAUUCCACCAUCGAUAAUCUCUCCACUCGUGAAAUUCAACGACGCCGACGCGAAUUUAUCGCCCGCCGACGAUCUCGCGGUCUCGUUAAGGUUGCGUUUAUUAUACUGUACGCGCGCGCGCGCGCGCGAAAGAGAGAGAAAGAGAGAGAGCGGGGAUCUCUCUCGUUAUAAUGCGAGCGGCGAUCGCGAGUUGUCCGCGCGAUAAAACGACCAAUCGAACGUAAUUCACGAUGUAAUUCCGCGUGAGCCGCGGGUAUUAGACGGUGAUCUUCAUUAAUAACGCGCUAUUAAAUCGCCAGCGAGAUGAUCGUCGUAACAUGAAGCGAUUUCCAUGACACACGCUUUCACGGUCCGAAUGAAAAACAUCAAUUCCCUUGGGCCGCAUCGUAUACAGAUUCCUAAAUCUUUAACAUUCAAUAUCAGUGUUUCUCUAUUAACUUUGUACACACGAUUGUAUAAAAAAAAAUGUCCAUUUCUUCUCUUUAAAAUAUUAUACUUUAAAAUACGAACACUUGGUCAAAUAGAGGUCUCUGUUCUGACUCUGAAAAAGUUUGACACCUAAAGAAAACAGACUUGAUGCGUUUCCGGCGUUAGUUCGUAUAUAUCCUUUAUCGAAGUAUAUUUUGGAAAAAUAUCGGGUUGUAAACAAUAUCUUAUCGUAUACAAAACGACUGUUUAUUUUAUGUCUGUAAAUUUGUUUGUUUUUUUUCCCGAUUAAUUUUCACAUUUAUAUUGAAGAAUUUCACGAACAGUUAAACAAAUUUUAAAAAUUUAAACGAUAAUUUUGAAUUAAAAUACGAGAACUGUUGCUAUUAUAUUUGUGUUGAAUAUUCAAAUUUUUGUAACGCCAUAAUAAUGAAAAAUGUAUUAUUUAAAGUGCAAUAUACCUUUAAUACCAUUUAUAACUAUUCGUGCAUAUUUAAAUGCGUUAGAUUACUGAAUAACUUUGGAACAUUUAAGUUAUUUUUUUUUUAUUUGGAAUAUAUUUACUUUGACGUGAAAGUAUUCUUCUUUAAAUCACUUUUGUUUCAAGUUGUGAAAACAUAUAGUUCUUUGACCAAGUUGAUCAUAAUUAUAAUACUUACUUUUUUUUAAAUUAACAAAACUAUACAAAUAUUUUCCUGACAUGUUAAAGUACAUGUGUCAUUAAAAACAAUUUUUUUACUUGUAAAGGUAAUGAAAAUUAAUACAGACACAAAUGACUCGGUCGUGCGUCUGGAGAACGUGUGUACAGAAUGUUAAAACGGAAAUGCGUGUCCCUUUUUUUUCAUACGACCACAGCUCGCGAUAUUCGAGUGUUUUGCGACCGCUCGAAAUGGGGACCGAUAAGACGAGGAAACGUUAUGCUGCCGCAGGAGAAACGAGCGAUCGCUGCCGGAGUCGCUCUCGAGCGCUCGGACUUACAGGGUGACUCACGUGCUAAUGAACCGCGGCCCGCUCGUGCUAAGUAAAAUCUCGCGUGCCUUGGCCCUGCCUGUAUGUCGCGUGAUACAAGAGUUCUUUCAGGAGGACGCAAAUCACUGCGUCGUGGAGAUAUUGCCGCAUUCGCCGCGCUCUGACGGAAAUUCGACGAUGUUAUCGCGAGCAGUUUCAUUAAGGGUUUCUCCUUUCCCCUUCUUCUUAGUCGCUUCCUCUUGAAAUCGCCGUCUUCACCCGGUCGCAACCUUGGCGUUGGAUAAGACCUCUGUGAAAUCGACGAAAUAAGAAAAUAAGUCUAUCAUAACCGUCUAAUUAAUUCGGAGAUAUAUUAGUUAAUUAUAAUUAAACAAAGCAUUCAAACGCAAAUGCAUGUAACAUGAUUAAUUAAUUCCGCUGGUAUAUUAACUAAAUGUUUAAAGCACUUUCAAACGUUGUGUGACCAACAUGUCUAUAUAUACGAAAUUUACACAGAAACAACUAUUAUUAAAGUUACAUGUGCUCUUUAUGUUAAAACUUAAUUGUAUUCUUUAAAUAUUUAAAAAUAUUUAUAUAAAGUUAGGUUACUUUAAAUAUUAUAAUAAUUAAUGUCCCAGAAAUAAAUUUGUCACACAACUAGCUUAGAGAUUUAUAUUUUGAUAAUGUUUUCAAUAUUUGUUAAGAAACAUUAUGUGUUUGUCAAGAUAAUAUUUUUUAGUAUUUAUUUUGUAAAUAAUAGAUUAAGAAAAAUUUUUUAGGACAUUAAAGGUGAACUUUUCAGAUUUUCUACCAAUUCAUUCGGAUACUUUACAAGUUCUUAUUAUUUACAAAAUAAUUGAAAACUGUAACUUUUGUUAAUAACAUUCAAUAUUUCAUAUUUUUUUAAAUUAUAUAAUUUAAUUAUUUUGUAUCAUAAAUUCUUAUAAAAAUGAUUUUCGCUUUGCAUUGUUACACGUCCCAUUAUUGGGGACAUUUACAUGAAAAAAUUUUUCAAAUACUUUGGAUAUUUCACAAUUACGAUGGUCUCGUGGCGCGUGUGGACAAUUAAGUUUUUUUUAUUAAUUUAUUUCGAAGUUAAUCAGCCCCGAUCUAGAGGAACAAUCGCGCCGUCGCAAGCCACGCGACGAUUACAAAAUCGCGUACUCAUCGCCGGUCGUGUUCGCGUGUUCCUUUUUCACGCGGCGCGACAGGACGGAUCACCGGUCAUUUCGCUUGACGUACCGCACGUAAAAGCCCUUACAUUGCGCAUGACAUCGCGCGCGUAAUCGGCCAUUUUUACCGUAAAUAGGGCCCGCUCAUCGGCCUCCUCCCCCCCUCCCUUCUUUUCCCUCACGCGCAUAACUCUUUUUAACGCCGCUCGCGUUUUCGCCGGCAGUUUUUCCUCCCGCACUCGCGCACACCGGUGUGUGCGUGCACACCGCGCCCCACACUAAUUCACGCGCGCACGUGUGUGUACGCGUGCGUGUAUGUGGACCGUGUGUGCUUUAAUUGCCACACCCGCUUCGACCCCAUAUUUCACCGUGUGUCAGCGGGCUUGAUGUUUCCCCGCGGUAAACACGCACGGUCCCGGAGGUCCACCGGCGCGCAUUCAUCAGGAUCGGAUUAAAAGGGCCGUAUUUACUGUAUUUUUGCGCGAAAUGAUUUCAAUGCAACGCGGCUCCGUCAUGUAAUCACCCAAUGAAUAAGGAAUACCAGGAAGGAGCACGUGGCAAACCGGGUGAAUCCUGAAUGGUUUAGUUCGAUGACAUAUUUAUGACGUCAUCGGAAGCAAAUUUGAAAUAGCGACAUAAAUAUACUUAUCUAUGAAAUGUAAUUUCAGCACCUUUAUUCUUAGUAUACUCACAGAGACAACCACUUUUUUGCGAUUUACUCAAAUCGUAUGCGUGUAAUAUAACAUACAAAUAACAAAAUAAUGUUUCCAACCGCUUUGCAAUCAACGAAAUUGACAAAGUUGUGGUUGUUUAAAGCUCAAUUGUAUAGAUGUCGCUAGUAACAUUGGUUUAGUUUUAUGAUGCAUAUCCGUUUCACUUCCCACCGCCAUACUUUUGCUCCUUCCUGAUAUUCUUUAUUCAGUAAUAUCUCGCGUCUUUUUAUCCUCAAAGAUUCUUGGUUGGAACGCGAUAUUGCUCUGUCUCUCUCGCGACUUAUACAGAACUGGACGGGGUGUGCGAUUCUAUGUUCGCGUGCGAACCGUCGAUGUGGAAAUUGUGAGGAUUACAAUUUCCUGGAAAGUGGCAAUUCGCGCUGCCUGCGCGUCGGUGAAAAUCGUAAACGAUGAUUCGUGAGACCGUCUUCUUCUUCUUCCCGGAUACGCCCUGCGCUGGCGGCUCCGCCCCUGGUAAUGCGUGCACGGCUCUUUGUAGCCGCAACAAUAUGCACCGAAAAUAUAAGCAUUCGCGUGCACUUUGCGAUGCGGUGCGUGCCGGUGAGGGGUGGUCCGCCGAUAAACGAGGCCGUUAACGAGUUUUAAAUCUUUCCUCCCUUUCUCUCUCUCUCUCUCUCUCUCUCUCUCUCUCUCUCUUUCUCUAUCUUUCUUUCUCCCUUUCCUUUCUUUCUCUCGAAGAGUCCCUGCUUCUUUUUCUUCGAAUUCUUUUUCUUACGUAAUCUUCUUCUUAAUUUCGAGCGGACUUGGACGAAAUUGCAAUUCGUAGUUUAAAUUACACGUGAAAGAAUUGCGGCGAGUAAUGGUAGUUUGUUAAGCCCCCUGAGGAAAAAAGGACUUAAUUGUACCAGUGUAUUUGGAGGAAAAUUUGUUAAAACGCACGAUAUAAAUAUUUCGUCGGAUCUGAAAAGUUUAGUGAUUGGUUUAGUUAGGCGGGCUGACAUUGUCGGGACAGAAAGUUGGGCCAUAAGCGAAAUUUACUAUUCAAAUUCGGUCGACUCUGCCGCAUUAGGGUGAAUGUCUGCCUGACUAUGCAACAUGGCGUGACAAGCACGAGAAUAGAACCGCAUCGGGUUUUACGAGAUCGCGUGAUCACCGCCAGCAAACAGUCGUCUCUACCAUGAAUUUUGUCGGUGCAGGCCCGCCUUUAUUUUAUCCGAUUCCCAACUUUGAUUCCGACCGCGCGCGCACACCUCGUGGCGGGCUAUUGUAUCUCGGGGAAAAAAUAAUGCAGAAUGCAUCUUCCGUUGUGUUUGCGGGAGAGGGAGGGAGGAAAGGGGGCGCUUUUUAUGCGCGCAUAAAUAUUUUAUUUUACUGCCCGCGCGGCUGUGUACCCGUUUGACUGAUAUGAUACACUGUAAAUCGCGUUAUAAGAAUGAUAGCAGAAUGUAAAUAUUUUACAUAUCUUACCUAAGUAUCUUCCGAACUAUUACCAUAAUUUGAGAAAAAAGAUGGUAUCAGUGCGGUAAUAUUUUACAAUCGGAAACGAAACCGGAUUGGAAGUAAGUUGAGUAUAGAGACACGUGACAUUUCUGUGUUUCUUUAAGUAAAUUAAACACCGUUGUGUUAUUUAUUAGUGCGACGAGCGCGAGGAGAAAACGGCCGAUGUCCCGAACGAGAGCAUUCAGUGCCUCCUGACGAAACAAAUUUUCUCACGGCGCUCUAAUUUUACUGCGACACGCUCUAUUAAUAUAACCGUGUACGCGUAUCACGAGAAUAUAUAGCAGAAGCGAGCAGGCCUGACUUCGCCAACGUUAUGGAAAUUCCAACGUGUGUUAAAUAUACCGGCGCGGAUAUAUAUAUAUAUACACGCGUACACACAUUCUCUCUCUUUCUCUCUCACACCGCGGUUGUUCCCGCGGUUGGGGAAACAAUCCAGUGAGAGUUUCCGAUGGUUGCAUAAUCGAAUUUACGGUUGCGGCUGAUUUGUAUCAUAGAGAGCGGCACAGAUCCUAGUUAUUUUGCUACUGAGUAUCCAAAACGUCCAUAUUAAACCAACGUCAUCUUCGAGUUGAAAAAAGAAAGUUAUUCGAAGUGUCUCACGGUAGUAUACAAAUGAUAAAAAGUGUCAAGACAUCAAUAGUCCCGAGAUAAUCAAAAUAAUCAAAAUUAUGCUUUUGUGGUUUCAGCUAUUUUCUAGCAAUUUGGAUGAAAAUUAAAUAUUUUGUUCUUAAUUUAAUUAUUCUGAUUAGCUGGUCUAAUGUAAAUUUCAACAGAAUUUUAAUUAUUUAGAGAAAUUUAUAAAGAUUUCAUAAAUAUAGUUUAUCAAUUAUAUAUAAUUAAAUUACUAUAAAGGAUUUAUUAAGCGAUGAUUAGUUGGCAGAUUUUUCAAUUUUGAAUUUUUAAAACAGAUUUAUAGAAAAAGCAAGUUCUGUAUUAGUUACUAGAUAUGUUAUGCUGUUUGAUAAUAUUUUAAUAAUAAGUGAAAAAAGUAAUAAUAUAAGAAAUUAAUAUUUUUUUAAAUAUGCGUUCCUUAUGUGUCAAAUAGUCCCAGAGUCGGGAUAAAUUGAUUAUAUCAUUGUUGACUUAAAAAAUAAUUUAGAAAUUAUAAGUUUUAUUAUUAAUAUAUUUUUAUUUAUUUUAAUAUAAUUUACCGAAAAUUGAAAUAAAACACUAUAUUAAACUAAUUUUUAAUUAGUUAAUACAAUAUAAAUUUUUACAAUUUAAUUUUAUAGUUACUUCUCAAUAAUUGCAAAAGUUACUUACAAAUUUGGUGCAUUUGGAACAAAGAAGAAUAUUAAUUUUGUAACUACGAUUAUUUAGCAUCUGUAUUUGUAGUUGGCCUUUUAUUCCAUUAACUCCUUUGAACUUUUUUUAUAUUGCAUUUUUUUAAACAUUAAAAAUUAACAAAAUAUUGCUUUUAUUUAUUCUUUGAUUUUUUUCGCAGCUAUCUGAAAACGAAACUAAUGUAGUAUAUAAAUGAUAUUAUUUACGAACUGAGCUUUUUAUUAUUGCACAAUUGUGUAUAUGAUAGUUAAAUAGCAUCACUAAAAAUUAAAGAUUGUUUUACUAAUUAAAUGAAUAUAUAACUUUUAAAUCUUGAAAAAUUGAUCUAUUUUGUAAAGAUUAAAGUAAAAUAUUUAAAUGUCUUGAUUUUCUUUUUAGUUUUUUUACACUAAAACUGACAAAGAAUGUGCUACAAAUACUUUGAAAAUAUUAAAAUAAUAUAUAUUACAUACAUUUUCUGUAAUGAUCGCGUAAUAUAAGAGUUGCACGUCUUUCUGCCAAAGAUUCGGAUUCAAAUCUAUCUAGAUCAAUAUCAGAUUUUUAUCGCCAUCUGUCGGAAGACAAUGGUAAACUGAAUAUACUUUUGCCAUGACAAUCAUAAGUAUGCAUCAAAUGGAGAUUACGAUUUUUAAUCGUGAAGGAUUGACUUAAGAGAGAAAAAUUUUUGUAACAAUAGCAAUACUUAAAAAUUUGUCACAAUUCUUUAAAACAAUUUGUUUGAAAAAUUAUGCGAAGAACACAAUGCGUUUUAUCAAAUCCGUUUCUAUAUAGAACCGCGAGAAGUUAAUAUAAUCGAUUCCCUACAUUAGAAUCUAUUGGAUGAUCAUCGAUGGUAGUUAUCAUUUACUCUGAAACUUAAAGCGUUUCAGAAAUUAAAGGAAAUCAGUCCGGAGAAAUGUGACUGGCUACGACUUUUCCAUCCAAUUCUGCAGUGUUCCAUUCCUUGCAUCCUCUUUCCCUCCCUCCCUCUCGCCCCUCUUUUUCUAUCACGUGCAACAGCCAAGAAGACGAGAGCGGGGUUGAUCCACCCCAGUUGAGUCCCGCGCGAAGAAAAGAAC
rnacentral:lncRNA from 1 species